rnacentral:rRNA from 1 species
GACGUAGGGUGCAAGCGUUGUCCGGAGUUACUGGGCGUAAAGGGCGCGUAGGCGGUUAUCCGCGUCGCACGUGAAAGCCCCCGGCUCAACCGGGGAGGGUCGUGCGAGACGGGGUAACUGGAGGCAGGGAGAGGCUGGUGGAAUUCCCGGUGUAGUGGUGAAAUGCGUAGAUACCGGGAGGAACACCUGAGGCGAAGGCGGCCAGCUGGCCCUGUCCUGACGCUGAGGCGCGAAGGCUCGGGGAGCGAAC